AUUGUAACAAGGUUUCCGUUGGUGAACCAGCGGAGGGAUCAUUACCGAGUUUACAACUCCCAAACCCAAUGUGAACGUUACCAAACUGUUGCCUCGGCGGGAUCUCUGCCCCGGGUGCGUCGCAGCCCCGGACCAAGGCGCCCGCCGGAGGACCAACCAAAACUCUUUUGUAUACCCCCUCGCGGGUUUUUAUAUCUGAGCCAUCUCGGCGCCUCUCGUAGGCGUUUCGAAAAUGAAUCAAAACUUUCAACAACGGAUCUCUUGGUUCUGGCAUCGAUGAAGAAC
rnacentral:misc_RNA from 1 species